rnacentral:misc_RNA from 1 species
GAUGAAGAACGCAGCGAAAUGCGAUAAGUAAUGUGAAUUGCAGAAUUCAGUGAAUCAUCGAAUCUUUGAACGCACAUUGCGCCCGCUAGUAUUCUGGCGGGCAUGCCUGUCCGAGCGUCAUUGCUGCCCUCAAGCACGGCUUGUGUGUUGGGCCUCCGUCCUCCUCCCGGGGGACGGGCCCGAAAGGCAGCGGCGGCACCGCGUCCGGUCCUCGAGCGUAUGGGGCUUCGUCACCCGCUCUUGUAGGCCCGGCCGGCGCUUGCCGACACAUCAAUCUUUUUUCCAGGUUGACCUCGGAUCAGGUAGGGAUACCCGCUGAACUUAAGCAUAUCAAUAAGCGGAGGA